AGAGUUUGAUCAUGGCUCAGGAUGAACGCUGGCGGCAUGCCUAAGACAUGCAAGUCGAACGAAGUGGCCCAUUGAAGAUUGAGUGCUUGCACGAUAUUGGAUUUGGAUUCCCACUUAGUGGCGAAAGGGUGAGUAACACGUAAGAAUCUACCUUUGAGUCUGGGAUAACAUUUGGAAACGAUUGCUAAUACCGGAUUAUAUAUAUAAGGAUACGUCCUUAUAUAUUAAAAGGGGCCUUUAAAGCCUCGCUUGAAGAUGAGCUUGCGGCGUAUUAGCUAGUUGGUGGGGUAAUGGCCUACCAAGGCAACGAUGCGUAGCCGACCUGAGAGGGUGAUCGGCCACAUUGGGACUGAGACACGGCCCAAACUCCUACGGGAGACAGCAGUUAGGAAUAUUCGUCAAUGGGGGAAACCCUGAACGAGCAAUGCCGCGUGAGUGAUGAAGGUCUUUUGGAUUGUAAAACUCUGUUGUUAGGGAAGAACGACUUAAGUAGGAAAUGACUUAAGAGUGACUGUACCUUUCAAGAAAGCUCCGGCUAACUACGUGCCAGCAGCCGCGGUAAUACGUAGGGAGCGAGCGUUAUCCGGAUUUACUGGGUGUAAAGCGUGUGUAGGCGGUUUAUUAAGUCUAAGGUUUAAGCCUGGAGCUCAACUCCAGUUCGCCUUAGAAACUGAUUUACUUGAGUGCGGUAGAGGCAAGUGGAAUUUCUAGUGUAGCGGUUAAAUGCGUAGAUAUUAGAAGGAACACCAGUGGCGAAGGCGGCUUGCUGGGCCGUUACUGACGCUGAGACACGAAAGCGU
rnacentral:rRNA from 1 species